GCGCAGACGGCGCGGGAAGACGGAAGGGCUUCCCGGGACCGGGGCCGUCCCGCGCCGCCUUUCGUGCGGCGCCGUACGCAUUUGACUCUCGCCCGAAGGACGCUGCAGCCGGUUCGGCAGUGCAAGCGCGACGGCCUGGAGGUCGGGAGCCGGCAGGUGGCCGGUGGCUCGCCCCGUGCGCGCCGCCGGUCGUUAGCCAUCCCGUCGGUGGCCCGUCGCCGGACCGAGGUGUCGCGAGUCCCUCACGGGACUCGGCGUCUCCGCCCUCGUGGCCGCGGGACAGAACGCGGCGAGGUCCCGCCGACGAGCCGUCGCACUCCUCCGGAGUGGGCGGUCAGUCGUCGGGGCCCGGUGGCCGCGGCGGACCCGCUGGGGGGCCGGAGGCUGGCAGCGAGUAGGUCGGUCACCCACCCGACCCGUCUUGAAACACGGACCAAGGAGUCUAACAUGUGCGCGAGUCAGUGGGUCUUGAACAGGCCCACGGGCGCAAUGAAAGCGAAGGCCUUCCGAGCGUCGGCCGAGUCGGGAUCCCGCCCCCCCCGUGGGGCGGGCGCACCGACGACCCGUCCUAUCCGGCACUCCCGGUUGGGCGGAGUCUGAGCGUACACGUUGGGACCCGAAAGAUGGUGAACUAUGCCCGGACAGGACGAGGCCAGAGGAAACUCUGGUGGAGGUCCGCAGCGGUCUGACGUGCAAAUCGAUCGUCAGAUCCGGGUCUAGGGGCA
rnacentral:rRNA from 1 species